rnacentral:lncRNA from 1 species
GAAGCAGUAAACACAGAAAAAAACCCUCCCCCUUUUCUGCCUAAAGGCAGGAUAUAAAUUCUCCUUUUACUGGAGAGAGACUCUUAUCAGCUCCGAGAUGGCACAAGCGGAAUCUGCACACAAACUUUAUUCCAUUCGUUCCCUCCUAUAUUUACCUUCCCACGGUUUGCCGCCUUUGGAAGCCUAAAACCGCCUCCCUUUGUCCUGUCGUUUCUCUACAAAUUUGUUGGUUUUUGUUGAAGAUGCUAUACAAGCUGGAAUUCAAAGCCGCCAUUUUGAGUUAGUCUUGGUUUCUGUUUCUCCCACGUGAUGUGCGCUGCAUGCCUUAACGAACUGUUUUUCCUCCGUUAAUCUGUCUUUUUGUUAAAGACUCCCAGCUGAAAGCCUAAGAUGGAGCGAGGUAAAGUUUUGCCUCCCCUGCACCCUCAUGGACUCAGAAGACCUCCCGGUGACUCCGGCAGAUAGCCCAAGUAUAUUUAAGGCAAUUAUAAACCUGCAAGCUUUGGCAAUCACACCUUACUCCCCGUAUAUGGUCAAGUGUGGUGUGAUGAGUUUUCUGUAACGUCCCCCAUAUCAAGUAUUCAAGCAUAAAAGGAUGGAAAAGAAGGCAAGGGUUUCUCAGGGAGUGAACUAUCUGAUGCUAAUGAGACAGUGUAGAUGACUUAUGAAUACCUGCCUCGUCGGGUCUUUCGCUGGAGGAAAGUCUUCUGAUGAGAGAUGCCGAGUAUGUGUUCUCUCCUCUAACACCCGGCUCUUCCUCCCACUCCCUCCUCCUCCUCUCCUCGGGUACGCAGAGAGUCUGUGCAAUCUGCACCGACGUCUUGAAGUUGCAGCCUGGAUACCCAUCCACACCCACACUACAACCCAAAGACUCAUGCCACCCUCGUCUCACAGUUGCCCUGGAAUUCAUGUUCUCUGAGUGACCAGCUCUUGAUGAAGACCUGCCUAAUUGUUCUACCUAGAGACUUGGACAAGAGCCUGUGAGAAAGAACUAAAGGCUUGCAAAUGUGAGCAUAAACUUAGGCCAGUGAAACACAGAGCACUUUCUCAGUCCCACCCAGACUGCAAACAUUGAUUUAGAGGUUUCCACCAAAAGCAAUAUUUUGCCUUGACCUAACAUAUUUGGCUGCACUGGCUGCACACAUAAGAUCAAGAGAGACGCCAUCUCUGAGGUGUGGUGUCUACUUGGAUGAACAUAUUCUCUUCCUAGGAUCUGUGGAUAAAGCCAACGCUUAUUAUUACUAACUGUCAGCCACUAUUCUAGGGAUGUUUUACAUGGGUUAAGUCCUUCAGUUCUUGCAACAACCCUAUAAGGUAGAUAAUAUCAUUAUCCCCAUUCUAGAGAUGAGGAAACCGAGACACAGAGAACUUGAGUAACUUGCCCAAAUUCACAAAGCAAUUAAAUUUAAUGUCUUUAAUACUUUCCAA